GAUGAACGCUAGCGGGAGGCCUAACACAUGCAAGCCGAGCGGUAUUUCUUCUUCGGAAGAGAGAGAGCGGCGCACGGGUGCGUAACACGUGUGCAACCUACCUUUAUCUGGGGGAUAGCCUUUCGAAAGGAAGAAUAACACCCCAUAAUAUAUUGAAUGGAAUCAUUUGAUAUUGAAAACUCCGGUGGAUAAAGAUAGGCACGCGCAAGAUUAGAUAGUUGGUGAGGUAACGGCUCACCAAGUCAAUGAUCUUUAGGGGUCCUGAGAGGGAGAUCCCCCACACUGGUACUGAGACACGGACCAGACUCCUACGGGAGGCAGCAGUGAGGAAUAUUGGACAAUGGGUGAAAGCCUGAUCCAGCCAUCCCGCGUGAAGGAUGACGGUCCUAUGGAUUGUAAACUUCUUUUGUACAGGAAUAAACCUACUCUCGUGAGAGUAGCUGAAGGUACUGUACGAAUAAGCACCGGCUAACUCCGUGCCAGCCGCCGCCGUAA
rnacentral:rRNA from 1 species